rnacentral:rRNA from 1 species
CGAGCGCAACCCUUAUCCUUGGUUACCAGCACGUUAUGGUGGGCACUCUAAGGAGACUGCCGGUGACAAACCGGAGGAAGGUGGGGAUGACGUCAAGUCAUCAUGGCCCUUACGGCCUGGGCUACACACGUGCUACAAUGGUCGGUACAGAGGGUUGCCAAGCCGCGAGGUGGAGCUAAUCCCACAAAACCGAUCGUAGUCCGGAUCGCAGUCUGCAACUCGACUGCGUGAAGUCGGAAUCGCUAGUAAUCGCGAAUCAGAAUGUUGCGGUGAAUACGUUCCCGGGCCUU